UUAAUGAUAUAAAUACAAGCUCUGUGUUAAUUUUAAGCAGAAAAGAAAAAUUCGUGAACAAUGCAUCACACAUUUGUAUCGUUGCUCCUUGUCGCUUUUUGUGUUGUUUUGGUUAACUCUGUACCAAUACCACAACCAAAUGCCGAACCUGUUGCUGAGCCAACAUUAUUUCUAAAAUUCUUGUUAGCAUCACUUUUACUACAGCCACAGGUACCAGGAGCAUUGCCAGGAGCAC